UACGUAGGGUGCAAGCGUUAAUCGGAAUUACUGGGCGUAAAGCGUGCGCAGGCGGUUUUGUAAGUCUGUCGUGAAAUCCCCGGGCUUAACCUGGGAAUGGCGAUGGAGACUGCAAGGCUGGAAUCUGGCAGAGGGGGGUAGAAUUCCACGUGUAGCAGUGAAAUGCGUAGAGAUGCGGAGGAACACCGAUGGCGAAGGCAGCCCCCUGGGCUAGCACUGACGCUCAGGCACGAAAGCGUGGGGAGCAAACAGG
rnacentral:rRNA from 1 species